rnacentral:lncRNA from 12 species
AUGAUUCCCUUGGCCCUCCCAUGGGGAGCCCAGUUCCGCCAUUGGGGGUGGGGAUCAGAGCCCAGCCCAGGCAGCGAGUCGCCUUUCCUACAAAUGGCAAUCAACCCGCUACUCAAGGUACUUGUGACACGAAGCGCACGCUCCAGAUCCUGGGUUAGCCCGACUGCCUGCAGCCGCAGAGACAGAGGCUCACUCAAGCCCUCUGAGGACACACCAGCCUGGGGGCCCAGAGCUCUCCCGCCAAUCCCCCAGGAUCAGCUGCAAGAAGAGGCCUCCCCGAUGAUGCGGAGCUGCUGACCCAGCAGCAGCAUCCAAGCCCUCGGACAAAUCCUGCGACAGGUAAACUCUACAUACACGAGAGAGAUGGGUUCAUGGGCUUGUCUGGAUCAGCCUCGCGUGCGCUCGGAUGCUGGGUGGGAUCAGCUGAGCCCGGGGGGCCCGGCAGGGCUG